rnacentral:miRNA from 14 species
AAGCUUGCACGAUCACCUCUCAAC